UACGAAGGGGGCUAGCGUUGUUCGGAAUUACUGGGCGUAAAGCGCGCGCAGGCGGUCCUUUAAGUCGGGGGUGAAAGCCCAGAGCUCAACUCUGGAACUGCCUUCGAAACUAGAGGACUUGGGUACGGGAGAGGUGAGUGGAAUUCCGAGUGUAGAGGUGAAAUUCGUAGAUAUUAGGAAGAACACCCGUGGCGAAGGCGGCCCACUGGGCCGGUGCUGACGCUGAGGCGCGAAGGCGUGGGGAGCGAACGGG
rnacentral:rRNA from 1 species